rnacentral:piRNA from 1 species
UGCUAUCUUGUAGAAUUUCAGUUUUUCCU